CAAUGGCUGAUCCAGCUCGUGUCGUGAGAUGUUGGGUUAAGUCCCGCAACGAGCGCAACCCUUUUCCUUAUUUGCCAGCGGGUUAAGCCGGGAACUUUAAGGAUACUGCCAGUGACAAACUGGAGGAAGGCGGGGACGACGUCAAGUCAUCAUGGCCCUUACGACCAGGGCUACACACGUGCUACAAUGGUCGGUACAAAGGGUUGCUACCUAGCGAUAGGAUGCUAAUCUCAAAAAGCCGAUCGUAGUCCGGAUUGGAGUCUGCAACUCGACUCCAUGAAGUCGGAAUCGCUAGUAAUCGCGGAUCAGAAUGCCGCGGUGAAUACGUUCCCGGGCCUUGUACACACCGCCCGUCACACCAUGGGAAUUUGUUGCACCAGAAGUAGGUAGUCUAACCGCAAGGAGGACGCUACCACGGGUACCCG
rnacentral:rRNA from 1 species